rnacentral:rRNA from 1 species
AUACCCCACUAUGCUUAGCUGUAAAAUAUUAACCUACACUCAAACCACCCGGGAAUUACGAGCCCAAGCUUAAAACCCAAAGGACUUGACGGUGUCCUAUCCCCCUAGAGGAGCCUGUUCUAUAAUCGAUUCCCCCCGAUCCACCCCACCACUUCUUGACCACCCAGUCUGUAUACCUCCGUCGCAAGCUUACCGUGUGAACGCACCUAGUAAGCUAAAAGAUUCAUCACCUAUACGUCAGGUCAAGGUGCAGCCUACGAAGCGGAAAGAAAUGGGCUACAAUCUCUACUUUAGAACAAACGGAAAACUGUAUGAAACACAGUUACUGAAGGCGGAUUUAGCAGUAAAAAGAAAACAGAGUGUUCUUUUUAACCAGGCACUAGGACGCGUACACACCGCCCGUCACCCUCUUCAAACUAAUAGAAAAAGUUACUAACACCACUUAAUCACACAGAAGAGGCAAGUCGUAACACGGUAAGUGUACUGGAAAGUGCACUUGGAACAAAAUGUAGCUUAACUAAAGCAUCUUGCUUACACCAAGAAUAUGUCUGAGAAAUCCUGACCAUUUUGAGCCUAACCAACAGCCCCCCCACUACAAUACAAGCCCCCCCCCUAACAAACUGACUAAAACAUUCUCUCAGUUAAGUAAAGGCGAUUAAAAAACUUCUAGGAGCCCCAACAACAGUACCGCAAGGGAAUUAUGAAAUAAAAGUGAAACAAAUUCAAAGCACUAUAAAGUAGAGAAUCCCCUCGUACCUUU